rnacentral:rRNA from 1 species
CAGCAGCCACGGGAACACGAAGGGUGCAAGCGUUAAUCGGAAUUACUGGGCGUAAAGCGUGCGUAGGCGGUGAGUUGAGUCUGCUGUGAAAUCCCCGGGCUCAACCUGGGAAUGGCAGUGGAUACUGGCUCGCUAGAGUGUGUCAGAGGAUGGUGGAAUUCCCGGUGUAGCGGUGAAAUGCGUAGAGAUCGGGAGGAACAUCAGUGGCGAAGGCGGCCAUCUGGAUCAACACUGACGCUGAGGCACGAAAGCGUGGGGAGCAAACAGGAUUAGAUACCCCCGUAGUCCCUGUCUCUUAUAC